CCUACGGGAGGCUGCAGUAGGGAAUCUUCGGCAAUGGACGGAAGUCUGACCGAGCAACGCCGCGUGAGUGAAGAAGGGUUUCGGAUCGUACAGCUCUGUUGUAAGAGAAGAACGAGUGUGAGAGUGGAAAGUUCACACUGUGACGGUAUCUUACCAGAAAGGGACGGCUAACUACGUGCCAGCAGCCGCGGUAAUACGUAGGUCCCGAGCGUUAUCCGGAUUUAUUGGGCGUAAAGCGAGCGCAGGCGGUUAGAUAAGUCUGAAGGUAAAGGCUGUGGCUUAACCAUAGUACGCUUUGGAAACUGUUUAACUUGAGUGAAAGAGGAGAGAGUGGAAUUCCAUGCGUAGCGGUGACAUGCGUAGAUAUAUGGAGGAACACCGGUGGCGAAAGCGGCUCUCUGGCUUGUAACUGACGCUGAGGCUCGAAAGCGUGGGGAGCAAACGGGAUUAGAGACCCCGGUAGUC
rnacentral:rRNA from 1 species